rnacentral:tRNA from 1 species
GGAGGGGUGGCCGAGCGGUCAAAGGCAACAGACUGUAAAUCUGUCGGGUUUUCCCUACGUAGGUUCGAAUCCUACCCCCUCCA